GCCUCAGGCAGGAUGGCUGGUUCUGAGAGGAGCCAGCAGUGACUCUGCGCACACAGUGGCAGCUGCAGCUCCUGAAGAUGAAGUGGCCCAGGUGACACGCAGGCCAGGCGCAAUGGCCAGCUCCAGAAUGGAAGUCCACUGGGCUGAGCCAGGCCUGGGCAAGGGGCCCCAGCGGCAGUGCUGGGCCUGGGCUGAAGAAGAAAAGGGUGCUGAUGGGAGUGGCACGUGCAGCUGGGGAGCAGAGGGGCCCUUUCCCAAAGCUCUCAGCCCUGAGCUCCUGGAGGACUUCCGCCUGACCCAGCAGCACCUUCAGCCCCUGGAGUGGGACCCAGACCCGCAGCCAGAUGGGCUCCAGGAUUCUGAAUCAGGAGAGUCUGUGGGAGAGGAGUUUGAAACAGAGGAUGUGGACAGCCCAGAAAGUUCCAACUUUCCUCUCAACUGGCUCCCCAGGCAGGAUCCUUCACUGGACAUGACUGAAGAGGAGCCAGAUGAGGCCCUUGGGUGUCGUGAGGUUGACGAAGCUGUAGAGAACUCCCCAAGGCUAGAGCAUGAGACUUGUCUCAGCUCAGGUGGUAACGGAAACACCAGUCCCGUGACUCUGGAGUGGGGUCAGCCCACAAGCUGGGUGGCCUCUGAAACACAAGCCAGUGGAGACAAACUUCCAGAACAUUCGAAGGUCAACCCAACUGUUGACCUCAGUUCUGCAAGGUCCUGGAGCAGUGGGACUGUGAGCCUUGACCACCCCAGUGACAGCCUUGAUUUUACCUGGGAAGGAGAGACCAAUGUCACCCAGCCUGCUGCCCUGGCAGAAACUCUAUCACAAAGCCCCAGCCACCACCUCCUAACCCCAAACGCCAGAGCUAGAGGAAGCGUUGCUCUGGCAACCCCCACGGAAUUCCAGGACUCCUCAGCACCCCCAGCCCAGACCCUCCAGUGUCCUGCAGAGAGAUGGAGGAGAGAUACUACCAGCAUCUCCUGCCCUCAGCCCAGGGACCCAGCCAGGAAGCGGACACGGGCAUCACCUAAGCCACUCCCUUCCAGAUUCACUGGCUCCAACAGCCCACCAAAUCCUCCACCUAGGCUAGCCCGGCAGGACAAGCUGCUGUCUGGACAGGGAGCCACUCUUGCCGGCCACUCUUCCUCUGAUGCCCCCAAGUACGGCCGGGGGCAGUUGAACUACCCGCUUCCUGAUUUCUCCAAGGUGGGACCCCGGGUUAGGUUCCCUAAAGAUGAGAGCUACCGCCCCCCAAAGGCCAGGCACUUGAGAAGGCAGCCUCAGGACCUUGCCAGGCCACUGAUCUUCAAAUCACCUGCUGAGAUAGUGCAAGAAGUGCUACUGAGCAGCAGAGAAGCCUGCCUGGAAAAGGACCCACUCCCUCCCCACCCCAUCACCAGUGUGCCCCAGGAAUUUCAGACACCUGAACAAGCCACCAAGCUGGUCCAUCAGCUCCAGGAGGACUACCACAAGCUCCUCACCAAGUAUGCUGAAGCCGAGAACACCAUCGACCAGCUGCGCCUUGGGGCUAAGGUGAACCUGUACUCGGACCCACCCCAGCCCAGCCACAGCAUCCACAGGGGGACGGUAUCCCAGGGCACCAAGGUCUUGUCCUUCACCAUCCCACAGCCCCACUUGGUGGAGCGGUUGCCAGGCCCCAGUGAGGCCCUGCAGGCCUCUGAGGCCUCAGGGUGGCCCUCAGCUCGAGGAGACCUGAGCCCAUCCUCGCCCAGCAGUAUGCCCACCUCAGGGUGGCUUCCAGAGAACCCAAGCAGCGCCCAGGAUCAGCCGACAGUGGAGCGAACCCAGAUGCUGGCUUCUUGGGCCAGCCAGUUCCUGGCCAAGGUGGAGUCCUUCGUAGGACUAAUGCAGACUGGACAACUGACACCCCAGGACCAACUCAAGGGCUUCCGGAAGCUAAAGGCUGCCCACACAGCCCUGGAGGAGGAGUAUCUGAAGGCCUGCAGGGAGCAGCACCUGGCCCAGCAACUUGUGGGCUCCAGGGGGAUCCCUGGGAAGUUUGAUCCUGGCAGGAAGCUGGAGGCAGAGAUAUUCCAGCUGGGAAUUCGCCUAGAAGAGCUGAAGGACCACCUGGACCAGAGCCAGCAGGAGCCUGAGCCAGCUGGGUCGGACUCGGCCCAGGACAGCCCCCCAGCCAGGGCCUCCCCCUACCAGCCGGCGUGCCUGCCCCCUCCUUUGGGACAAGCCCCCAUACCGGCCACCCCAACCCUCUGCCCUGAGCUUGAUGCCACCAGCGUUGACCCCCGCCCAUUGCAUGUGAACGUGGAGCUGAACGCUUCUAACAGUGAGGUGGAAGACAGGCCACUGUGCCUUCCAGCCCCACUCAGGUGCAAGGAGCUGCAGGUGGAGCAAGAUUUCCAUGGCCUCCUGGAGCGGUACCUCAGUGUGAAAUCCCUUCCAGAAGCCAUGAGGAUGGAGGAGGGGGAGGAGGGCCAGGGCUGUACUCUGGAAGUUAAUGGGCCAGCUCCGGGGAAAGCAGAGGCCCCCACACUCCCCACAAGGCAGCUCCCAGCACAGGCUGAGAGAAGCCGCAGGGCCCCUUGCAGGGAGACCAUGGAGCAGAUGGUGUCUGUGAAGCCAGCAGGCUCCCAUGCAUCUGCGGCCACAGGCGGGCACCUGGAGGGUUUGGGAAAAGCUGAGGCAGCUGCUCAAGGCCCUAGCAGGCAACCCCACCCUCUGAGCACCAAGUCUGCAGUGUCCCACCAGAGCAGUCUGACCAGCCUGGAGGGAAGCAGCAUCUCUGAGCGCCUUCCACGGAAAUCUCUGUGCCAAGCUGGUGGACCGCCCCUGGAGGAGCCCUGGAUGGCAUCCCCGGAGACAGACAGUGGCUUUGUGGGCUCAGAAGCCAGCAGAGUGUCGCCCCUCACCCAGACCCCAGAGCACCGGCUCUCCCACACCAGCACCCCAGGUACGUUAGCCCAGCCCUCCACUGCGCCUGUGCCCCAGGAUGCAGCCUCCCAUCCACAGACCCGAGAUCCUCUGGUCCCCAGAAGAGCCUCUGAGUCCAGCACACCCAGGAGACGAGCCCAGAGGCACCCCUGCACCCAGGACAGUCCUCUCCAGCAGAGGGCACCCAGCUUCCGCCUGGAGCAGGCGCUGAUGGCCAAGAUGGCCAUCCCUGGCUCAGAGUUUGAGGGCCGAAAGCAGAUUUCUGAACAGCAUCCACUGAGCUCGACAAUCAACCCAUCCCCCACCUCGGCCCCUGCAGCUGCUCCUCUGCCCCACGGGCUAGCACCCACCACCCCCACCCUCCUCCUCACCAGGACAGGGCGAGACCAGGCCAUCCGCGAGCUGCAAGAGGAGGUCUCCCGGCUCCGCUUGCGGCUGGAGGACAGCCUGCACCAGCCACCCCAGGGCGGCCUGAUGCGCCAAGCAUCCACCUUCAACCGCCCUGCCCGUGCCCGGGACCGGCCAGCGGAUGCCUCCUCUGCCUGGGGCUCCCACUAUGGCAGUAAAUCCACGGAGAGAUUGUCUGGUGAGCCUGGAGGUGCAGAGCAAGCGGUCCCCACAGGGAGGCGGCGAGCCAGGUCCUCCUCAGUGCCUCGCGAGGUGCCCCAACUGUCCCUGAGUUCUGAAUCUGAGCCACCCUCCCCCCGGCAGUUCUCUGAGAAGAGCAGGACCACCGAGGACAGACCACAGGCAGCUGGGGACAGAACGAGAGGAGUGGGCAGCACCAGACAGCCAGACAGGGUCACUUUCCGGGGCCAGUACACAGGCCAAGACUACCGUGUUCUGACCCCAAAGACUGUCCCAAGAGGCAGCAGCACAGUCUCCUGUCCCCACUGCCAACCUGCUAGGACCCAGCACGCAGGUGGUGCUGUGCCCGGGGACCCGCUGGGACUGUCUCCCUCUGAUUCCCUGCAAUGUCCUCUGUGUGGUCAAGUUGGGUCCCCCCGAGAGGGGGAUGGCCUGGACUCAGCCGCCUCUGGGCCAGAAAAGGCCACCACGAGGAGAAAUGCACCUUCAACUUCAAGCCCCAAGCAGAGGAGCAAGCCCGGGGGGUCUCCACCCCGGCCACCCCAUGGACUGUGGUAUUUGGCUGCUGCGCCCUCAGUACCAGCUGCUCCUGCCUUUGCCUACGUCUCCUCGAUUCCUGUCCUGCCUUAUCCAUCAGCCACUGUUCCUUCACUGUCGUGGGAUCCCAUCAGGAUAGCCCGUAGAAUCAGCCAUCUCCAUAGGCUCCUGGCUGUGCCGCUCCCAGACCCUCCUCCUCUUGGAUGGCCUUGACGGUGUGGAGGGACACUGGUCAGGCUUGUGGAAGGACAAGCACUUGCAUCCUACAUGGAUUUGGAUGUAACAUCAGUCAAGACAGAAAAGACAUAGCAGUUGAGGCAGGAGUGGUUUGGGUUUUAGGGUCAGAGCUGCCCUGGAAUCCUGUCUGCCACCGAUCAGUGCUCUGGCCGUGGUGAAGCCACUCCCCACCUCACUCCCACCCCACCUCCUCCCCGAGCCUCUGUUAAGUGGGGUAAUGGUGUCAGUCACGUACAGUUGUGUGAGGACCAAGUGAGCCCGUGGCAGGAGCCACCUGAGACGUUUGUGGGGUGUGCAGUGCAGGGCCAGCACGUGCUCAUUGCUGGACAGACAACAGCUUCGGCCUCGCAGGGCGUAGUGAUGCUGUUCAGUAGUGUCACUAGUAAGAAGAAAAAUGAGCCCAAGUGGCUUGGACACGACAGGAUUGUGCAAGGAAGAAAAUCCUGGACCUGUGACCUGUCUUCUUGUCCCGACUGUCACCAGGUGUUCUGUGCCUCCGUUUCGCUCGCUGUCGAGUGAGCCGGUCGGGAGGCCCCAUCAGUGGCGCUGUCAGAGACCUAUGUCUGUGGGCAGAGAGGGGCCAGAGCCACUGCCAGGCUGGCACUGGGUGGGAGCGGAGGCUCAAGGCCCAUCCGGCCCCCGAGUCCCUGAACAGGACUCUGGCCUAUGGUGUGGUUUCUUGCCACCCUCCCAGCUGAGUCCAGCAGGUCACUGAGGAACCUUCCCCUCCAGCACCUACAACAGACUGACCCCCAAGCCUCCAGGCCUCUGGCGGAGGUGGUAGAAACCUGCCUGUGCUCCACCUCAUGGGGCAGGAAAAGUUUUGCCUGGAGUUUGGUGGCCCAGGAAAGGCCCUGGGCUUUAGUGGCCCACAGACCUGGCCGGUGGCAGCCAUCCCCGUGGAUGGGUCACUGUGCUCCUCUGGCCUGGUUUUUCCAGAUGAAAUGAAUGGUGGUGAGGAUUAAGUGAGCUAAUGAAGAGAAAGCCCAUAGUACAUAGAAGGUGGCCAGAAACCAUGACUUCUAACGGUACUGGAGUCUGCGCUGAUGACACCCGAAAGCUCCCCAGCUCCGUCAGCAGGACCGAGCAGCCACUGCCGCAUGGGAAGCUGAGUGGGCCUGUGCUGCCACCUGCUGGUCAGCCGACCUACAGUGCCUGUGCAGGAGGCUUUCUAGCCAAGGGAGGGAUUUUCGGAUGGUUGGUUUGUAGCUUCUGCCCUAAUGGGAGUUUGGAUGACUUUCAAGCCAAGCUGGUCAUCAGAUCAUCAGAAGGUACUAUGCACCCCCAGGACCUACCUCAACCCCCUCAGCCCAGCCAGCCACUGAGUGGCCCCCCACAGCCUCCCGGCCUGCCAGGAGGCACCGGCACUCCCUCCAGCUGGACUUGGAAGGCCUGGAGGAGCUCAAC